AAGCAAACCCUCUGAAUAGUUCUUAAAAAUACUUGGAAGCUCAGGCCACUUCUCAGAUGUAUCAAGUGAGAUUGCAAGAGCUGGUAGGACAGUGUGUAUGUUUGGUUUCUAAGUCUGAAUUUCACUGAAACUGCAUGAUAGAAAGUGAUUUUGGUCAGAAAUCUCAGUGUCUUUUGUUAUAGCACAGUUUGAGGUAGAUAGCCCAGGCAGCCACUGCUAGUGCUGGCUUCACUUCCUCGUGAUCGGAAUCCAAACUUCAGGCUCAGGUUUUGAGUAUGCAGGGCAUGGUAAAACAUUUCUUGUGGUUUGAAACUAGGUGUUAUUUUCCAUGUGGACAAAGCUUGAAACUCUUCUGGCACUUUGCUUUGAGCCAUGGUAUUCAUCUCUGGGAUUUAAUUCAGGGGUACUUUGAGAACUUUUUCUUGCUGUGAAGAAUAUAUCUGCAGAGGGAGAAAGUGGUGCACACCAUGGAGUACCCUCUGGAGGGUAUCCAUGGAGUGGAUGCAUCUGGGACAUAUGAGUGGUUAGACAUAACUUGAGUCACGUUGACUACAAUUACACUGAUGGCUCAUGUUUUGUCAUCUGGGUGGGAUUCAGUUAGACAAUAAAACAAAGAAGUGCAUGUGUGUACAUGAGGACUGAUUGUCUAUGCUCUCUUUAUAGUCAAUGGAGAUCCAGCCAACACAGAUUACAUAAUUUGGUUCACCCUGAAGGAGUCACCCUAUAGUCAAUCAAAUCAUUUCCAGACUGUGUUAGUGGAGACUAUAAUGAAAUGUUAGUUCUUAGUCCGCAUGCAGACACCUACAAGUACCUUCCUGAAUCCCACACCAGUUUAUACUGUGGUGCACACCUUUGAUGCCUGUUCAGAUAUUUUAUAGGAGUCAAAAUUUUGAGCAAUAACAUUAUCUUUCAUCAAAGUCCACCAACUUGGAUAUAUCUCUUGGGCACCUGAGUUUCAAAAUCUUGGCCACUGUUUUUAUUCUUGGAUUUCUCCCUCUAGACAGGUCAGUUUGUCUGGUUCUGGAUGUGGAACAGAAACCUAACACCAAGAUAUUUCUCCAAGCUCAGCUGGCUUCUCCAUGAAUACCAUCAUGUGUGACUCAUGCUCUUUGGCGUGGAUAACUGCAUCAGCAAGGAGGAAGAACACAGCCUCGGCACCAUGUGAAUGCAGUCAUGCAAUGUUGGAUCAGAGCUUGCUUCAAUUCUACCUGUCUUGAGCAGUGGGAAGCAACUUCAUGUCUGUCCUGAUCUCCCAUGCAGAUUUAUCCAGAGUGACCACACCUGAAUGCUGGAAGUCAUUAAUGUGCUGCACUAUGCAGGUUCAUUUAUCCUUCUUCAAUAAAGGACUGACUCUUUGCAAGGACUCUUCUCUGUGUGACUCCUGCCCGUGCUCCCAUCACAGACUUCAGCAGCAUUGUGGCUGUCCUGGGAUGCUUCUACACAACCUGCUCCAACUUAUCUCCAGUUUAUGUGGCUUUAUUUCAAUGCCAUUUCACAUUGGUUUCACUGCAACAAUUAAAUGUCCCUAGUGUCAUUUGUGUUUCUAUCACAAAUUAUUUUUCCCUAUGCCAGAGAAAUGGAGACAAGUGAGCAGAAGGGAAUAAAGGGAGGGAAGUGUUUAUCGACAGCUGAAUGCCUUCCUGGCCUCAGCCUGGAUCAUUCUUGCAUGUGCUUUGAUUUUGUUAGUAUUUUUCCUCCAGAAAUUUGUUGCAUUUUGGAAGCUAAUUUGCCUGUAUAGAGCACAACAGAUUUCCAAAAAGAAUGACUGAGGGGCUGGGAGAUGUCUCCUCUCUGGAAUGAUUGUUUCACACUCUUUUGAGAAUGUGUCAGGUAGGAUAUUAAAAAAAAAUAUUCUCAGAAGGAGUGGUGAGGCACUGGAACAAGCUGCCCAGGGGGGUGGUGGAGUCUCCGUCCCUGGAGGUGUUCAACAAAAAGGUAGAUCUGGCCCUGAGGGACAUGGUCUAGGGCAGUCACAGUCAUGGGUGCUGGUUGGACUGAAUGAUCUUAUUGGUCUGUCCAACCUUCAUGAUUCUAUGAUUCUGUUAUUCUACGGGAAUAGUAGAAACUCCCAUAAGGAUAUAUAAUUACUGUCAGAGUCCCAUGACACUAAACUGGGAGGAGCUUUGACUCUCACAAAUGUAGAGGGAUUGUCCCCUCUGCUCUGCAUUGUGCAGCCUCACCUCGAGCACUGGAUGCAGGUUUGGGUGCCACGAUGUAAGAAGGACAUAAAACUACUAGAGAAAGUCCAAAGGAGGGCUAUGAGGAUGGAGAAGUAUCUGGAGGGCAAGUGGUGUGAGUGGAGGCUUGAGAUCCCUGGGUUUGUUCAGCCCAGAACAGAGCAGGCUGAGGAGAGACCUCAUGGCAGCUGCAGCUCCUCACAGGGAGCGGAGCCGAAGCACCGUGCCACUGCCAGAGCAGGCCCUACUUUCACCACUGCAGCUCGAGUAUCCAUUUCAGUGCUAUACUUAUUGCAAAGUGGCACAAAAGCAGGGG